rfam:Parvimonas micra strain KCOM 1535, complete genome.
GGUAGUUGAGGGCAGAAAUGGUUCCUGCCGCACCUUCAACAAGGUAUCUGAGAUGUUGGAUACACCGACCAACCGACUGCU